rnacentral:misc_RNA from 1 species
AACGCACAUUGCGCCCCUUGGUAUUCCGAGGGGCAUGCCUGUUCGAGCGUCAUUACACCACUCAAGCUCUGCUUGGUAUUAGGCGUCCGUCUGUCUGAAAAGGCAGGCGCGCCCCAAAACCUUCGGCGAAGUCUUACCGACUUUGGGCGCAGUAGAAUUUCUAACAACGCUCUUUGGGUCGGUACGGUCUUUUGCCGCUAAAUUGAAUAUUACAUUCAUUUUUUCUUAGGUUGACCUCGGAUCAGGUAGGGAUACCCGCUGAACUUAA